AACGAACGCUGGCGGCAGGCCUAACACAUGCAAGUCGAGCGGAUGAGGGAAGCUUGCUUCCCGAUUUAGCGGCGGACGGGUGAGUAAUGCCUAGGAAUCUGCCUAUUAGUGGGGGAUAACGUUCCGAAAGGAACGCUAAUACCGCAUACGUCCUACGGGAGAAAGUGGGGGAUCUUCGGACCUCACGCUAAUAGAUGAGCCUAGGUCGGAUUAGCUAGUUGGUGGGGUAACGGCUCACCAAGGCGACGAUCCGUAGCUGGUCUGAGAGGAUGAUCAGCCACACUGGAACUGAGACACGGUCCAGACUCCUACGGGAGGCAGCAGUGGGGAAUAUUGGACAAUGGGCGAAAGCCUGAUCCAGCCAUGCCGCGUGUGUGAAGAAGGUCUUCGGAUUGUAAAGCACUUUAAGUUGGGAGGAAGGGUUGUAAGCUAAUAUCUUGCAGCUUUGACGUUACCAACAGAAUAAGCACCGGCUAACUCUGUGCCAGCCGCCGCGGUAAGAC
rnacentral:rRNA from 1 species